rnacentral:lncRNA from 1 species
CAGGGAUUUCAGUUCAUUGUCAGCUGGUUAUUUUCUCAUAAACAUUCAUGAGGCAGAAACAUGAAGGAAGAGGAGUAGGUGGUGAAUCACUCACUUUGUGACAACCAAGAAGAGCAAGAGAGUGAGGAAAUUAGCCAGGGAGAAAGUGCACAUUUCAAAGAAAUGUCCUUAGUGACCUAUCUCCUUCUCUGUGUCCCUACCUCCAAAAGUUUCUGCCACUUCCCAAUAGUACUACCUACCAGAGGACAAGCCUGCAAUAGAGAAGUCAUUGGGAGAUGUGUUAGAUUCAAACUUUAACAGGAGCUACAUGUAUUUCUUUGUCCAGCAUUCAGAAAGUAAUAGACUGUCUCAAGUGUGUACUGAUCUGAUAUCCCAAGAGUUGCUUAACGUGCUAACCCCAUAAGCUCAGGCCUUUCAUCCAUCCAUCACAGCAGACGGCUGGGGAAAGACCCUGAGAAACCAUGGGACCGAGAUCUUAUAGGGUAGCAUAAGGGGAGUGUCUAGAGGUCUGCAGACUACCCUCCUGUACUGAUUAGUUGAACAGACUGCAGCUGUGGAGCCUCCAGGUCUGUGGCCUAGCAAACACAACAGAAGGACUAAGAAUGUGACAUGAGACUAUGUAGAAGGACAGAGACCAACGCCUAGGGAGUACCAUGAGAUGAAAGACUCAAGAUAAUUUCUACCAUUUGACUACCCUGGAGACAGCUAGGACUGACACAGACAUCUAAGAAAAUAGAACUCUGUCUGACCUAAAAUUCUAAAAAUACUUGAAAUUUUUAUUUACAUGGUCAAAGAUAUUUUGGUUAAGGUUGAUUUGAGUUGAAUUUUGUGAUAUGAGUCAUUAUUACAAAUUAUAUAUUAUCCUCAAUAUGCACAUAAGGAAGGGAGAAAUCAGAA